UACGGAGGAUCCAAGCGUUAUCCGGAUUUAUUGGGUUUAAAGGGUGCGUAGGCGGUUUAUUAAGUCAGUGGUGAAAGCCCGGAGCUCAACUUCGGAACUGCCAUUGAUACUGGCGAUCUUGAGUCCGGGAGAGGUGAGUGGAACUGCGAGUGUAGAGGUGAAAUUCGUAGAUAUUCGCAAGAACACCAGUGGCGAAGGCGGCUCACUGGCCCGGUACUGACGCUGAGGUGCGAAAGCGUGGGGAGCAAACAGG
rnacentral:rRNA from 1 species